GGCAGCAGCCGCGGUAAUUCCAGCUCCAAUAGCGUAUAUUAAAGUUGUUGCAGUUACUAAGCUCGUAGUUGAACCUUGGGCCUGGCUGGCCGGUCUGCCUCACCGCAUGUACUGGUUCGGCCGGGUCUUUCCUCCUGGGGAUCCGCAUGCCCUUCACUGCGUGUGUUGGGGAACCAGGACUUUUACUCUGAAAAACUUAGAGUGUUCAAAGCAGGCCUUUGCUCGAAUACAUUAGCAUGGAAUAAUAGAAUAGGACGUGCGGUCCUAUUUUGUUGGUUUCUAGGACCGCAGUAAUGAUUAAUAGGGAUAGUCGGGGGCAUCAGUAUUCAGUUGUCAGAGGUGAAAUUCUUGGAUUUACUGAAGACUAACUACUGCGAAAGCAUUUGCCAAGGAUGUUUUCAUUAAUCAGUGAACGAAAGUUAGGGGAUCGAAGACGAUCAGAUACCGUCGUAGUCUUAACCGUAAACUAUGCCGACUAGGGAUCGGGCGAUGUUAUUCUUUUGACUCGCUCGGCACCUUACGAGACAUCAAU
rnacentral:rRNA from 1 species